AAAGUGGCAGCAUGUAGCGAUAAGCUGCCAACCCCGUCAGGUCUGGAAGGAAGCAGCGGCAACAGCUGAUUCGGGUACCUGUGUAGCCGCUUUCAU
rnacentral:SRP_RNA from 1 species